rnacentral:sRNA from 2 species
CCAGCGUUUGUCAUUGGGGAGUAGCCAUCCUCGCUCCCGACGGGCCUGACGGCUCGUCAAUCCAGAGGAAUCCGCGUCAACAGACUUGGGGUGAUGCCCCAUGGUGCGGAUGGCCGUCGUCGGAAUCUCCGGCGAACGUGCCCGGCGAGACCUUUGGCCGCGACGUGCU